rnacentral:lncRNA from 1 species
AGAGCUUGGGCCCAGGACACACUCAAAGUUCCCAAGGGGACUCCCUCUGUCUACACCUGUUCGCAGCUCAGGCUCACAAGGUAAGAGGCACACUGUGCGGCGGGGACUGUCUGGAGGACAUUGGGCAGUGAACUAUGUUUAAGUACUAUGAAUUAAAAUGUUGUUUUUACGUCUUUUACCUUAUUGAUAGGACGAUGAAGGGCACAGUUUAGAUCAAAGCGUUAUUGAUUAGAUUUAUACCUACUUUAUCGUGAUGAAUUUGCAAACUACUUAGAGAAAUAAUAUAAUGCAUUUAUAAAAUAGAAAGAAAAACAAAGAUUCAGACCAGUGCAUUUGUUACAAUGUGAACAGUAUGUUCAACUAAGUAAAUACUCUGAAAAAUAAAUAUUUUUGCUUUGACUUGAAAGAUGCGCGUACUACUUUGAACAGAAGGGGCUUUUUAAUUUCACAAGAAAAUGUGUCCAUUACCAAGACUAUAAUAGCAGUUUUUCUUUAUGAAUUAAAAGCUUUUUUUAAAAGCUUUUGUUUUCUAAAAGAAAAUAUUCAGUCUCAUCUCUCAACUAUCCAGAUUUCUAAUAAAUGUUUCGAGGUAUCAAGGCCCUUUGUAAAUUAAAGCUGACAUCUAUAAAGCAGAAAACAAGCGUCAUCAAUAACUGGGAAUGUCUUCAUAUGGGUUAUAAAAUAACAGUUAUUUACCAUAUAAUAGUUGUAAAUACAGUCUAAAGUAGCUCCAUCUGGAAUGAGAUUCUCUGCAUCUCUUUAGAAAGACCAAUCAGAUAUUCUGAAGUGCCUUCUUAAGUUCAUAGGGAAAAACCCCAAUUCACAAAUGCCAGCAACGGAGUCAACCAUCAGGCAUAGUGUGUUUCAAGACAUCCCAGGGCCGUUACUUCUCAAUCUGGGGGUCAAACAACUCCUUCACGGGUAUUGUAUAUUAGAUAUUUACAUUAUGAUUCAUAACAGUAGUGAAAUUACAGUUAUGAAGUGGCAUUGAAAAUAACUUCAUGCUUAGAGUCACCACAACAUGUGGGACUGUAUUAAAGGGUCACAGCAUUAGGAAGGUUGAGAACCACUUAUCUAAGGACUCGUUAUUAAGGGAGAUAAGGAAGCAGAAAGUGUUUAUGUACCCUACAACACCAAUGUAUCUUAGGAAAAUAAAAUAAUCUCUUCUUUCCUAAAUCUAAGAUUCUUUUUCUAAGACUUUCCAAACAGGGAGUAAUACUGUACCUAUAUCCUAAUUUUAAUUUUGAUAGGAAAGUUGUGGCAUUUUUCUUUUUACUUUUUUUCAGAAAUACCAUUCUCUUUCUUUACACUAGCCAAAAGAGGAGAGAAGUAAGUGUAAAUUUCUUACUGGAUACAAUGUUGAUGCUAACAUAAUAUAUUUAAUUCUAAAUAAUAGUAUUAAAGCAAUGGGUUAAUUAUUUUAUUUCUCAGAAGUUUCUUAACUUUCAAAAAGUGGCUAAAGGGAAGUGAGUUAUACCAAGAGGUUGCAUUGGAAGACAUAUGUUCUCUCUGUAUUGUCCUUUCAAAGUCUACCCUUUAAAAACAUGACCAGGGCCAUCUCAGAACCUUCAGGGACUUUGGGUUGAAGGGUUUAUUUAGGACUGAGUUGGCAUUGUUCAGUCUUUUGCAAGAGGCUUUCCAAUAGCAUUAUGGUCCUAAAAGGAAACUUUAACUCUUCAAUAGUAUAAUAACACAUUACCAUUGAAAGGUACAAUCAAAGACAUGUCAAAGUAGCCAUGUGUUGUUCAUCAUCAAGAUAGAUGAAAGCAUAAUUUCUAUUAUGCUGUUUUGUCUGAUUGGCCAGUUCAUCAAUAAGUACUUAUUACUUCAGGAAUCUACCACUCCAGGUAUGACAGUCUCUAUUUUACUGCUAAAGACAGAUAGUAAAUAUGGCUGAGAUGUUAAAAAAAAAGAUUGAUGUUUUAAAAAUGAUAAUAUUUGUAAAAUCCUUAUUCCAAACCAAAUGUCAUUUGCUAAAAAUACUCAUUUCAUUUAUUUAUGAAGAAACAUAAUGAAACUUGGGCUGAAAUUCCCAUUUCUCAAAAAUAAAACACUAGAGUUGGAAGGUUGCAGAGAGAAGCCUGAGACACACUCUGGACUCAAGAUUCCAACUCAGAAGACAGAAGAGCUCACUCUUUAGAGGUGUCCUGGUCCACACUCAUGUAGACCCACAUCCUCAUCACCACAACCCUGGUAUCUUCUGCUUUCACAGGUUAUCAGUUUUUGCCAAACAGACAAGAAACCAGGUGUAUGCUGCACACAGACCCACAGUGUCAUUACUAGGAAAUGUCAUUUUCUAGACUGAGUAUAAUUACCAGACAACCAAGGGACUUUGGGACUUCAAAAGCAAGCACUAAUUUUCCCUAGGAUACUAAUCUUUAAUUUCUUAGCUGUGAUUGUUCAAGUUGCCAGGAGCAUUAGCUCUUAUUGCAAAUUGCUUGUCUUUAAAAUGAUUUUUUUCCUUUAAUUUAGAACAGGUCAAAGCACCCUAAAAUACCUCAAAUCUGUUGGCCGCUUUAUAAUUACAAAGUCUAGACCAAGUUACACUAUUUAAAAUAUAAAUGAAUAAUACAUCUGAACCGACAGCUGGUAUGCCAAGUUGUAGCCUGAGGCGGCUUUAAGAUGGUUGAAAUGCAGUAUAAUGUAAAUGCUUGGAAGUGAAGGACGAUUAAUUGAAAGCCAGACUGAUAGUGAAGGGGUGGUGUUAUGGAUAAGGUGCCACUCAGGCUAACCAUAUGCAGCAUAUCAUCUACAGAGGGUAUUUUAAAUGUUUAUUGUGGACACUUUUAUUUCAAGUCUGGAAAUGAGCCUUCUAAACAUUAACAGAAGUGUCCUACAUUAAUGAAAAGCCUAAUAGUAGAACAGAUCCUUUGUGUUAUUUUUUCCUUAUCAAAAUUCAUGGGGGUAGGGGGGUGUAUAUUCUAUUUGAAUUUAACAUGGCAUUGGAGCCAUAAGCAGGGUAAAACAGACAGAAUAACUUUUGUCUGCACGUAAUAUUAACUUAGUCAAAAUUGAGCUCAUUUGGACUGCCUGCUCCCCCAUCACCCCCUACCCACCCCCAUUCUGUGUUCCAUCAGGC